GAGUUUGAUCCUGGCUCAGAUUGAACGCUGGCGGCAGGCCUAACACAUGCAAGUCGAGCGGUAGAGAGAAGCUUGCUUCUCUUGAGAGCGGCGGACGGGUGAGUAAUGCCUAGGAAUCCGCCUGGUAGUGGGGGAUAACGCUCGGAAGCGGACGCUAAUACCGCAUACGUCCUACGGGAGAAAGCAGGGGACCUUCGGGCCUUGCGCUAUCAGAUGAGCCUAGGUCGGAUUAGCUAGUUGGUGAGGUAAUGGCUCACCAAGGCGACGAUCCGUAACUGGUCUGAGAGGAUGAUCAGUCACACUGGAACUGAGACACGGUCCAGACUCCUACGGGAGGCAGCAGUGGGGAAUAUUGGACAAUGGGCGAAAGCCUGAUCCAGCCAUGCCGCGUGUGUGAAGAAGGUCUUCGGAUUGUAAAGCACUUUAAGUUGGGAGGAAGGGCAGUAAAUUAAUACUUUAGCUGUUUUGACGUUACCGACAGAAUAAGCACCGGCUAAUU
rnacentral:rRNA from 1 species